rnacentral:rRNA from 1 species
UACGGGGGGAGCAAGCGUUGUUCGGAUUUACUGGGCGUAAAGGGCGCGUAGGCGGUCAGCACAAGUCGGUUGUGAAAUCUCCGGGCUUAACUCGGAAAGGUCAACUGAUACUGUGCGACUAGAGUGCAGAAGGGGCAACUGGAAUUCUUGGUGUAGCGGUGAAAUGCGUAGAUAUCAAGAGGAACACCUGUGGCGAAGGCGCCUUGCUGGCCGAUUUCUGACGCUGAGGCGCGAAAGCGUGGGGAGCAAACAGG